CAGCAUCACAGAGAGGAAAUAAGUUGACACGGACCCCUCCUCCUAUUUUUCAAGGUAACUUUUCCAAUUUGUUUCAUUCCGAGUAGAAAUGUCUGGAAAAAUUCAUGUCUUCGAUGUACUUUAUAAUCUUCGGAACUCUUCGGAAUUUCACUCCCAAAAUGCUUGAAAUCGCAAUUCAGGACCCUAGAUUUCAAAAUUUUCCCGGGGGUGCAUGCCCCCGGACCCUCCUAGACGGUCUCGAACCUUCGGCGUGAGAUUCUCCCCCCCCCCAAAAAAAAAAUUAAGGUCUGGCUACGCCACUGGUUAUAGCUGUACGAUUAUAGCUACAAAGAGUUGACGUUAUUGUUUAUAUAGGUGAUUAAGUUAAUAAAUUAAAGUUUUACAAAAUCUCUCUUCAGACUCGCGCGUUCGCCAAACCUCGACGGCUCAUAUUUUUC